UACGGAGGAUCCAAGCGUUAUCCGGAUUCAUUGGGUUUAAAGGGUGCGUAGGCGGAAUGAUAAGUCAGUGGUGAAAUCCUGCAGCUUAACUGCAGAACUGCCAUUGAUACUGUCAAUCUUGAGUAUAUUUGAUGUGGGCGGAAUGUGUCAUGUAGCGGUGAAAUGCUUAGAUAUGACACAGAACACCGAUUGCGAAGGCAGCUCACAAAAACUAUAACUGACGCUGAGGCACGAAAGCGUGGGUAUCAAACAGG
rnacentral:rRNA from 1 species